rnacentral:lncRNA from 1 species
AGGUUUCACACUGUUAUAAUUGAAGAUGCUGAUAUAGACGGGAGUGCUAAAUUAAAUAUUUAAGGUAGCUUCUUCCUAGACUUAUGCUAUUCAAGGAAGCUUCUUCCGAGACUUAUACUAUUCAACCAUUGAAAUAAAGUAAACCACAGACUGGAACAACUUCUCCUUUCUUUUCGGUGCAUGCAUUCUCUCAGUCAACAAAGUAAAUCAAUUAUAAUACGCAAUUCUGACAAUCAUUUACUCGUUUCGGUGGAUAUACCUUUCUACUUUGUGGUCAGAAUUAAAUUGUCGAUCUGUGACCGACUGUUUCUUAGUUCCUUUCGUCUCGGCUUACAUUGAUUGUAAUCGGAAAAUACAUGGUGGUUACUACGAUGAGCAAGAAAAGUUACAAUAAUUGAUAUUGCUGCACACCUUACUCUUUACUAUAGUUGAUACUAGCAAAGAUGCCCAAGCUCCAUUGCGGGUUUUGAAUUCGUAACCAUAGUUUAACACACCAAUUUUUAAAUUAUUCAGAAACCAAUCAAAGCAACUGAAUCGACAUGGUAAAUUAAGUCUUUCAGUUGGAUCUACAUUCUAUUGAAUUUACAUUAAAAGCCUAUCUUAAAAAAAAAUGUCGGAUUUUUUAAAGUCCCAACUAUAUACAAUGUACAUGAGUUUUUCACAUGAAUUGGAGAAUGAUGGUUGUUUAAUUGUACCUAAAGUGCAGCAGUAGCUGUCAGUGUGUGGCUAAAAUGCACCUGCACAGUGAAUCAAAAUUGACUCAUGAUUCCUUGUACUUGUAGCAUAAGUAGAAGGCAGCAGUGCUACACAGAAGUUUGUACUACACAAAUAGUCAAUGCUAUUUCCAAACCACCAUGAGAUUACUUAUAAUAAACUUACCUAGAAGUUGAAAUUCAACCGAACAUAAACAUCAGGCACAUCAGAAAGAUGGCAGCAGUUUAAGUCUUGAAGGUUCUCUUCAUUUAUGUCCUAGUUCACGGGAAAAACAAAAAAUGUGAUUGCAAAGAUGUGAUUCCCAACAACAAAGCCUACCAAAAUCUAAUCCUUUCACCAGUACCUACCUACCACCAAUUGAAUAUCCCACCAACACUCCAAAUUUUGACAGCCCUUAAGAAAAAAACUGUUCUAUGAAGCACAAAACUCUUCCAACACAUUGCUUGCAAGAUUUACUAUGUUUAAACCUCUGAUUUAUUGGUAUCAUGCGAUUUCUUUGAAAAUUUACAUAAACCUCAAAAAGUAGUAAAAGUGCUGCAGCAGCAUGAGGAGUUUUAUAACAAAGAAGUCAUUCAUUUCUACCGAUAAACUGAAACAAUGAUUGAUACAAAGGUCUUCGCAUCAGAUAAAAAUGACUGACUACGAAGAAUUCAAGUGCAAAAUGACUGACCAAGAAGACUUCUAUUUUUCAGAAAGGUAAAAAACAAUUAAUUGUUAUGGUACAAAUUCUAAAGUUAAUAAGCCCUUGAAGCAGGAAGCCAUAAAAAGAGCAGAAUUUUACAACAUACGUCUCAGAAACAAAUAGACUCAUUUGAAAUGUUCUUAAAGAAAUAAUACAGUGCCAAAUUGGAAUCAUAUCGGAGAAUAAAUAAAGAGGUCUAAGAUAUUUUAUCCAUAAACCUAAAAACUACAGAGAACAAAAAUAACAAUCACUCAAAUGGAAAGUACGGGGAAGCACUGCAUCAAAGGUCAGGUGGCAUACCAGAAUUUUGAUUCAAAUGUCAUGGCUGAGAACCUUUGCAUCAAAAGCAGCUGCAAGAGCAAAUGAUGAUGCUGCGAUAGGAGUCCAAACUAAACAGCAAAAAAUUAGAGAGAAUAAGAGUAAGAAUUCGAACAGAGUUCCUCUCAUAGAACUAAAGAAGUGAUGUUGAAACAACCAUUUUUUCCCAUUUUGUUUGACCAAGAAUCUAUUUGUAUAAAAUCCAAAUCCAAAUGCAGAAGAGAUAUGAGAAUAUAACAGAGGACCCUAACAGUUAAGAUUAGAGAGAAUAAGAGUCUGCAUUCGAACACAGUUAAGCGAUUUGUUCCAACACCUAACAAAAUUAAGAAUGGAUAAACAAAUACCUCAAUGAUGGUUUUUUGGCGCCUGCUCUGUGAAUGCAUGGUUUGAUGUGUAUGCUUGUGUUUGAUCUGCAUACAUGUCAAGAAAAAAUUAAGAAGUGCAUCACAGAAAUACAUAAGCAACCAAGAAUUGGAAAAACAAACUACCAACAGAGGAGCUAAACAGUUGCUAAAACAGCCUAAUCUCCCCAACACUCACAUCACAGAAAUACAGAAGCAACAAAGUAUGGAGAAACAAUCUAGCAACAGAGGGAUAUUCAAACGAUGUGAAGCGGAAAAGCAACCUCAAUUUGAUUUGUUGAGAAGGAAACAGCAGCAAAUCAUGAAGAAACACAGAAAUGAGCACAGUGCAACCCCCUAGCUUAUGAAGACACAAACCUGACUCUAACUGUGUACGGAAACAGAGCACUCAACAGCCUAAUCUCCCUAACACCCAACUAAACAGCCUAUAAACAUCCAUUACAAUUUUAAUGAAACAACAAAAUAUUCAUCACAGUUUUAACAAAGCAAAUGGCAAACCAAACAAUAAACAAUGAUUUUAAAACAGUGCAUUCCCUGUUGAAUCAGAGGUGAAAACUGAAAACCCACUCUCUCCCAUACCUCCCUCAGCCAUUCUCUCCUUAACAACCCUGUGGAGUAACCCGUUAACCCCAAAAAAUGCACACAGCCAUGCUUUCUGCCCUCUCUCUCUCUCUCUCUCUCCCUGUCCAUCCUUCUCUCAAAAAUUGGACAAAAUCCCUUUAUCUCUCUCCCACUCAGUCGAAACACGUAGCUCCCAUCUCUCUCUCCAAUCUGUCAUUCCCUCUGUCCCACUCCUCUCCUCCCCCAACGACCCUCUGACCGAUGCAUCUCCCACAGCCACACACCCACCCGCCCCCGAGUCAAAAAUCCCGGCUAUCCUCUCCCUCCACACUAAAGAUAUUUUCAAACAAAUCACAAUCCAUCCCACAAAGUGCAUCCAACUCCAAGGCAAGACUAAGCAAACACACAAAAUGUAUAAAAACCAAAGAAAAGUAGAAGUGUAACAAUAUUGUUAUGCAUCUGUAUUUAUUCUCACAAAUAACGAAUAUAAGAAUUUGAUGAUCUUGUUACUCAAACUCCAAGGAAAAAUGAAAUAAAAUUCAAUGGUUAAAAUUAAUCAUUCUGUAAAUGUAUUCCCCACAUCUAUAUCAUUCAAGUACAACGGUUUCAACAACAAAAAAUUCCUGAUUGACUUCAGUUCAAAACAUUCAAGUUCAACGUAAUUGAAACCUGUGCAAGAGAUUCGAUGAAAACCCAGUUCCAAUAUUAGCCACAACGAACUGAAGCCGUAUCGGCUCAGCGAGAACCUUCUCGAUAACCUCCUUCAACGCAACCUAUCAAUUCCAACACAAAAAUUGAGAAAAAGUGCGAGAAUAUUUGAGCUUGGGAUUUUCCCGGAAACCAAACAGGGGUCUAGACUCUAAACCAAACCUUGGGCGAGGGGUGGGGUGGAGAGAGAGGGCAGAGCUUUGAGGCGAGCCACCACCUCUACCCUCCUAUCCACCAUAUCUAAACAUCCACAGAGACAAAUUGUCAAACACCUAAUGGGUGCGCAUAUACAAACACACACACAGACCUGUAUAUACAAAAAUUACCACAAACAAACACACAUACACCUAUAAAUACAAAAGGGGGUGUCUAUAUAAUCACCUUGGGGAACAUCUUCGGUGUGAUGGAGGGACUUGUGGAUGUCCAUGGCGUAGUCGACCGUGUUGGUCUUGUUAAGGAGCAUAAAAUGGACUUGAGGAUCUACUCAUCUGGGUACAUCUGCCGCUCCUGUCCGAACUCGAGGAGGGAAAAAAAAUGAAGAAAUUUGGGUUUAGGGAUCUGGGUUUUGGGUUUAUCGUUGAAUACUGGAACGGUAUAAAGAAAUUUGGGUUUGUGGAGAGUAGCAGAAACUGAGAAUGCCGAGAGAGAAUCAAAAAGCAAAGAAAAAGCGGAGAAGAAGUCGAGGUGCAGCGAUGACAGACGCCUGGGCUAGCUUCCACCGUGCGAAGCGGUGGCUCAUACUUUUCUCUGACCAUCUCCCCUCUCCCACUCAUGAAAUCGAGGAUCUGCGGCAAUGGCCUCUCUCUCUCUCUCUCUCUCUCUCUCACAGAGGAGGCAUGGCCUCCCAUCCCCGAAACCCUCACUGAAUGACAACAAACCUAAACCCACCCCAAUCCCUCUCUUACUCAGUCCAAACCCGUAGCUCCCAUCUCUCCAAUCCGUCAGUCCCUCUGUCCCCCUCCUCUCCUCCCCCCAACAACCCUCUGACCGAUGCAUCAGCCACAGAACACCCACCCGCACGUCCCUCCCGAAAAUCCUCUCCCCUAAAUCCCGGCGAACGUCUCCCUUUCAACCCUUCUGUCGCCCUUCCCUCUCUCUCCCCAAGCCAUAAGCCCAGAUCCAGCCGAAAGACCGAAGACCCGUUGUUAAGCCCAGUGGCAAUCUUGUAAAUGAAGCGAAAUUUAGGAUAGAAUCAGCCCGGUGGCAAACUCGUAAAUAAAGUGAAAUUGAUGCAAAAUUGCACAGUAGCAAUCUUAAUGUUCGAUUCAAACACUACGAUGCAAUGUCCGUAUUGUGAUUUGCUUUUUGUGGAUUUAAACUAGGGGAGUUUAACGAAAAGCACCUGGUACUGUUCACUUUAACGAAAAACCACAUUUUUACACUAAAAAGUCAAUCCUGGUACUAUUUACUUUACCCUUUAUUUUGUCCUUAUCAUUAAAACUCAAAGUUUUCAAGCCAUUUUCAUUAGUUUUCCUUUUAAACUAUCCAUUGCAGUGCAUGUUUGACUAGUCACAUUUAAUGUUGUAUUUUUUUUAUAUACCUUUAAAUAUUGGAUUAUUUAAUUUGAUUAUCAUAAAUCAGAAACUAUAACGCAGAGUCUUAAUUUACUUAUUUUGGGUAACAUAAACUGCAAUGCAAUAUGUGAAUCCCUAAUGACCAAUUCCAAAAUAUAUAAAAUAUGAAAAAGGGGUACCGAGUGUUAGAUUUUAUAAUUUUUAUUUAUUUUAAAUAAUUUUGUAGAAACCGUAUAUUCAAUAUCUAGAUUUAAGAGAUUACAACCUAUAUUUAUACACAAAUUAUAAGAUAUCUUCUUAGUGGUUACAAUGGGACGGAAAACCAAUUAUAUCCUAAUAAAGGCUAAUAACAACAUAAUAGCUAAACAAUAAUGUAUUGUCCUUGAAGAACCGUAACUAUGGUAACUCCCGUAACUCCCUAACAAAUUUAAAUACAGAUUUUGUAGUUUUUGUUUAUCCUUCCCUCCCAGUUGCAAACGUAUGCAUAGAAGGUCUAAACGCGGCUACGUUUGUCAUCAAAUAGGCCAAUAUAUACAUCACUGAAAUGGUGUGGAUUGAUACAUUCUUCUCCUGACUAUCCUUGUCCAGAUACUUUCCUGUGUAAACGAUUAGUUGAAAGAACAUCUGGUAUGGAUAUUGAACUUGGCAUAGCUUGUACCAAACAUUGCAUCAGUUGUUUUGCAACUCUUGAAGAUUUCCUUGCUUGCUUCAUGAAACAGUUUCGACAAACUAUGGAGUUAACAUCCCAUCUACAAAGUGCUUGUCCAGGGACUAUGUCACGUCCAUCUCCAAUCGUGUCAUUGUAAAAACCUCCUGUGAUGGAAGUGUUAGAAGACAAUGACUCAAUAGCCGCUCGAGAUUGCUUUCAAAUUGACUACUUCUGCCAUCAGCUGAACAAAAAAUUGAAAGGGGAUCUGUAGCAGAAAGGGCAGCCGGCAUCAACAGCACAAUAAUUGCGAAAAGCAUUACAAGAAGUUUAUCUUUGUCCAUUUGCUAGAAAAGGGUUCACGGUGAACACAGAUUUUGGCCAAAAGCAAGAAACACUUUGAAGAUUUAUUUUGACGACGUUUCAGUUUUGACAGUGAAGUUCCAGCUACAAGUUUACAUGUGACCAUCACAGAAACUUCCUUGCUGAUGGAAGACGCAAGCCGGAUGUGAUUAAAGUCAUGAUCUGCAUGUUGAUAGAGACCAGGAAUAACAUAUGGUGUUCAAAUGAUCGGUUAAUUGUUGAUUGAUCAAAGACUUUGCAGCUUGGUCACAUAUAGUGCAUGCUUAAACUACUUGAUUAAAAUGUGAUUGUUUAGAGUUGACUGGCCAAACAAGCAGUGUCUGUUGGUUAGUACAAGUCUAACUAUUUGUUUGACCAUUCUACUCGAAGGGAGCUGCCAUGAAAUUACUAGUAAGGUCUUUGGAGUCUUUAUAGCAGCAUGAGGAUGUGUGGGCAUACAAGAAAUAAUAUGAUCAAGAAUAAUAAGGAUAUCCAAUGUAAAGUAGGAAUGACCCCAAUUGAAAAUAAGAUAAGAAAAAAUUGAUUAAGAUGGUUUGAACAUUUGAAAUGAAGACCUAAAGAUGCUCCAGUUAGAAAACGCAACUACGUGACAAAGACUCAUAACACAAGGGCACAAGGGGUAGAUGAAGACUUAAAAAAAAUUAGGAGACUUUAAGAAAAGACAGAGACUAUUUGGAGCUAAUAAAAUACUUGGCCCAAAAUCGAGUACAGUGACGUUCUAGGAUUCAUACAAUCAACCCCACUUAAUGGGAUGAUGUAUUUUUGUUGUUGUUGAUGUGUUUAUGCAGGCUCUAUUUUGUUCACUUAUUAUAUAAACCGGUCAAAGUAUCGAUUUGCUUAUAUCGCACAAAUUUCCUUGCUGACCGAAAAUCCAUAGAUAUGCAAUCCUGCUCAACAAAGUCUUGAUCAAGAAUACUGUAUUGAUCAAAGACUUGUUUAAUUAAAUUAGUUAAACUCACAUCAGUAAAAAUUAAAAUUCAGUCACACCACAAGUUGAAAGAUUUGUUGACCCAAAACUAAUAGAUAAUGACAAGGACUUCACAACCAUCAAAUAAUAGUAAACUGUCAGUGUUUGAUUCGUGUUUGUAUUAUUUGAAAACAAAACUGCAAAUUGAUUCAGUGAGACGAUGAUUCACACCGAGCAGCUGAAAAACGAAGAACAAAGGAGGAAGAGAAUUCGGAGUCGUUGCUUCAGCAAGAAGGAUUCUAUUUCUUCUUGUUGAUGAGAAUGAGUUCACGUUAAUGGGAGGAAAUAUCUUGCAUGAACUUAUAAAAGAGACCUACUCUUCAUAUGGUCAAUUGGUUUUGUGGUGAAACCUCAACUUUUUUCAUGGUAUCAAAGUAGGUUGAAUAGAAUUUUACGGGAUAAUUUCCGUGUAUUCCAUAAUUCUCAAUUAAAGGAUAUGUACAACCCUAGUUACAAGAAAGGCAACAAAUAAAGGACAUAAUACCUUUCCUAAAACAAGACUCUAGUAAUUACAAAAUAUUUACAUUCUCUUUUCUACUAAAUAUUAACUUAUUCCAAUACUCCCCCUCAAGUUGGAGCAUAAAUAUUACUCAUGCCCAACUUGACAAGCGACUCACCAAACCUUCUAUUGCACAUGGCAUGGGUAAGUACAUCUGCAAGUUGUUCCUCUGAGUUCACAAAUGGUAUUGACACAAUCUUCUUCUCCAGCUUUUCUUUGAUAAAAUGUCUAUCAACUUCAACAUGCUUAGUCCUGUCAUGCUGUACUGGAUUCUCGGCUAUCUCUCUAGCGGACUUAUUAUCACAAUACAACUUCAUUGCCUCCUUCUGUGUAAAACCAAGGCUCUCAAGUAACUUUUGCAGCCAAAGCAUCUCGCAUACACCAUGUGCCAUUCCCCUAUAUUCGGCUUCGGCAGAAGACCGUGACACCACAUUUUGUUUCUUGCUCCUCCACGUAACCAAAUUGCCUCCAACGAAUGUAAAAUACCCCGAUAGACCUUCUAUCAGUCACAUCACCGGCCCAAUCAGCAUCCGUAAAUCCCUCGAUCCUCAUAUGCCCAUGACUCUCAUACAAAACUCCUUUACCCGGAGCAGACUUUAAGUAUGCCAAGAUUCUCAUCACUGCCUCCAUAUGAUCUACACUUGGUGAGUGCAUAAACUGACUAACCACACUUACCGCGUAAGCAAUAUCCGGACGAGUAUGAGACAAAUAAAUCAGCCUCCCCACCAGUCUUUGAUAUCUCCCUUUGUCAACCGGUUCCUGAUCUGGAUAAAUCCCCAAAUAAUGUUUCUCUACGAUAGGAGUGUCCACAGGUUUACACCCCAGCAUGCCUGUUUCCUUUAAUAAAUCCAGAACAUAUUUACGUUGAGACAAAAAAAUACCUCUAGAUGACCGAGCGACUUCCACUCCAAGAAAGUAUUUUAAAUCUCCCAAAUUCUUCAUCUCAAACUCGGCAGCAAGGUUUUGUUCAAGCUUCAUCAUCUCUUCUGAAUCAUCACCGGUUAUUAUCAUGUCAUCUACAUAAAUUAUUAAGGCAGUCACUUUACCACUUCCCCGUUUCACAAAUAAUGUAUGAUCCGAAUGACUUUGAUAAUACCCAAACCUCCUCAUAACCUGAGUAAAUCUCCCAAACCAUGCACGAGGUGAUUGCUUAAGUCCAUAGAGUGACUUUCGCAAUCUACAUACUCCGGUUUUUCCUCCGGCAUUGUACCCCGGAGGAAAAUCCAUAUACACCUCUUCUUCUAGAUGCCCAUGAAGAAAAGCAUUCUUUACAUCAAACUGUUUCAGUGGCCAAUUCAAGUUUGCAGCUAAAGAAAUCAGAACACGUACCGUAUUCAUCUUCGCUACUGGAGAAAAAGUUUCCUGAUAGUCAAUACCAUAAGUUUGAGUAUACCCCUUCGCUACUAACCUUGCUUUAUAUCUGUCUACCGAUCCGUCUGCCUUAUAUUUAAUUGUAAAAACCCAUCUACACCCAACUGGUUUCUUGCCUUUAGGUAGCUCCGUCACCUCCCAUGUAUCAUUCUUGUGUAGUGCCAUCAUUUCUUCAUCCAUUGCAGCAACCCAUUUAGGAUCCUUCAAGGCCUCCUCAACUCGGGUUGGUGCUUGGAUUGCUUCCACAUUAUUUACCCAGGCUUGACGUUCAGGUGCAAGGUUUUUGCACGACACAUAAUUUGAUAUUGGAUACUUUACUUUUCCUUCAGGAGAAAACCUGUCAGGAGGAACACCACGAUUUUGCCUUGGCGGCAACUUAUACAUACUUACAUCAUUAUUUGGAUUAGUUACAUGAGCAUCUGUAGUACUUACCUCAGGGAUAUUCAGAGUAGACACAUUGGGUGGCACUAUCGAGCGAGAGAGAAUGUGAUGUGGGUUCUGCAGAUGGCACUUCUUCCCUUAAAGUACUUGGUUCGGCAGUAGGCUGCUGGAUUAUUAUAGCUUCCUCAGUAGGACCUUGCCUAAAACCUGCACUUGUCUCGGCAGGCAGCAACUGAAGGCCCAUAUCAUUCUCGGCAAUUUCUUGUCGAAAAUUUGGUGUCCCAUUUUCAUCCUUGUCGUCAACACAUGCUCCCCCUGAACUACAUAUCACAUCCUCGGGUACCUCUAACCACCCAAGAUCAACUUGAUCACCACUAGUGUUCUCCCCCUGGUGAUCUGAAGGUGAUGGGAUCGAAGAAUAGAAAUACUCUGAUUCAGAAAAAGUAACAUCCAUAGUCACAUACAUAUGUCGAGUUUCAGGAUGAUAACACUUAUACCCUUUCUGUUAAGAGGCAAACCCAACAAAAACGCACCAAAGGGCACAUGGAUCCAAUUUGCUACGAUGAAUCAUGUGAAUAUGAACAUAUGCUACACAUCCAAACACACGAGGAGUAAGGGUAUUAGUGGAUACUACAGGAACAUGUUCCGUUAAUACUUGAAGAGGGGUACGGAAUUCUACAACCCGAGAUGGCAUACGGUUAAUCACAUACACAGCAUAGGUAACGGCUUCAGGCCAAAAACGUUUAGGCACAGACGCACCAAUAAGCAGGGCACGAGCAGUUUCCAAGAUAUGACGAUUCUUUCUCUCAUCAACCCCAUUUUGUUGUGGAGUAUGCGGACAUGUAGUUUGAUGAAUAAUUCCACGAUCUUGUAGAAACCGGGAUAACUCAGAAGCUAUGUACUCUUCACCGUUGUCAGAACACAAAACUUUAAUAUCAAUGGAAUACUGAGUUUUAACCAUCUGUUGAAACAGACGAAACACAUCACAAACCUCACUUUUAUUUUUCAACAUAUACAACCACAUCAUACGAGUGCAAUCAUCCAUGAAAGUAACAAACCAUCUAAUUCCCGAAGUAGUACUAACAGGGGAAGGCCCCCACACAUCAGAGUGUACUAGUGCAAAUGGAGAAGAUCUUCUAUUCAUACUUGGAGGGAAUGAAGCACGAUGACUUUUGGCUAAAAUACAUACUUCACAUUUCAAUUCUGAGUUUUCAAUACCACUGAACAAAUCAGGUACUAUAUGUUUCAAAUAACCAAACGAUGCAUGCCCCAAACGACGAUGCAAUAACAAUACCUUCUGUAGAUUCCUAUUACGUGACGAAUGAACCAAAUGAGCUCUUCCAGGAACCACGUCAUCCACAUAAUAUAGUCCCUCUCUCUUAGUGCCACGCCCAAUGAUCUCCUUUGUUUGAAUAUCCUGAAGCAAGCAAAAUGAAGGAUACAUUACUACAACACAAUCCAAUUGUUCAGUGACUUGAGGUACAUACAAUAAGUGAUGGGACAAUGACGGAACCAAUAAACAAUUAUGUAACGGAAGAGAGGGUGUAAGAGACACUGUUCCCGCUCCAACAAUGGCAGCAGUAGUACCAUUGGCAGUUGCCACACACUUUUUAUGAGAAUCUUUCAUGGACUGAAACAAAGUUCUAUCAUACGUCAUAUGAUCCGUUGCACCGGAAUCUAAAAUCCAACCGGUAUUGGUCAUUGUAAUAACAACUGCACAACAGUCUCUACACACUGCACAAAACAACAAGUACGCACAAUACUUAUACGCAACAAACUACACACUUGCAGCUGUAGACACGCUGAUCCACGGACAGAAAUCACUAGCACAAACUGUAGCCCACGGUACAAGAGAACAAUCCACACAUUGCAAGCAGUAGCAAGAACCCACAAAUCCUUUUUUUUUUUUCAAAAGAGAAAAAAUUGCAGAACUUGCAGACAUAAUCUGAAAUAAUAGUACUAACACGCACAGGAACAAGGGCACGAUAUUGGACAACAAUUCAAGUGCAGCUCGGCACAAGAAUUAUAGUUAUACUCACUGCAACAAAUUGGAUAGCAAGCCAAAUUGUUUACUACCCACGGGAUAAAGGAAAAGGUACUUUGACAAUUGAUGCAAAGCAAUUGUAUGCUAACAAUUGCACAACAAUUGUACACUGUUAAAAACCACAAGCACAUCAAUACCAUUCACACACGGUUGCACACACAGCAACAACACACACGCACAGUGACUGAUCUCUGCGAAAAGAAUUGCAGAAAAAACAGUUGAUUGAGCACAGCGGAAAAACUAGGGUUACGGCAGCCUUGGCUCUGAUACCAAAUAGAAUUUUACGGGAUAAUUUCCGUGUAUUCCAUAAUUCUCAAUUAAAGGAUAUGUACAACCCUAGUUACAAGAAAGGCAACAAAUAAAGGACAUAAUACCUCUCCUAAAACAAGACUCUAGUAAUUACAAAAUAUUUACAUUCUCUUUUCUACUAAAUAUUAACUUAUUCCAAUAGGUUGUCCCACGUGUGAAGCCAAACGGUAACACGCGCUCUGCGUCACCCUAUUGUAUUAUCCACGUGUUAGGCUUGAAAAUUUAUCACACGUGAGGGGACGUGUUGAGAAUAAGUCUCAUUUUAAUAGGAGGAGGGAAUUCCAUGGGCUUAUAAGAGGUUAAACUACUCUUCAUUUUACCAAUUGAUUUUAUGAUGAAACCUCAACUUUCUCUUCUUGUAGCUGAAUAGAGAGAGAGAGGGAGUUAGAUAUAGCUGAGCUGAGCUAUUGAAGGCAUACUAGUUAUUAGAAUCCUUUUUACUAUUUAUCCUAGUAUUAAUUAAGGGAACUGUUAUUAACACUAAAAAAAUCUCAUUAUAUACUCUUCACAAGUAUAUUUUUCUUUCUAAUUAUUGAAAGUUUGGAGUGUUAAAUGAGGUUUUAGGAGUGCUAAUAACAAUUCCCUUAAUUAAAGUUUGUAUAAUUAAUCAAAUAUAUACAAGGUGUGAUUGUAACAUUAUCAUGGGAUUCUUACUUCCAGCUUCUCGGUAUAUAGUUUUUAUCACAGAUUUAAAUAUCGAUAUUAUCGGCGAAAUAUCGCCGAUAAUAUCGAUUUUUCGGGUAAUGGAUAUUUAAAUAGGUUUCUGUGUGGUUUUCGUCCAAAUAUCGCGAUAUUAUCGAUAAUAUCGAUAAUAUCGCGAUAUUUUGGAAAUAUCGAGAUAUUUCGUUGAACGGUGCAAUCGGACUCCGAUUUCGAACGCCGGAGAUGGUGUGGCUGUUCCCGAGCCCAUUUCGUCCCAAAAACCUUGCAAAAACACGAAUUUUAACUUCAAUUUCACAUAUAUGCUUCAAAUUUCACGCAUGCAUCAACGAUUCAACAUAUGAUGUCGGUUUAGGGCUUAGGGUUUCAAUGGAAUCUCACCUGAAAAAUCGAUGACUGGGCCAACUCCUUUCUCAGCGGCGCACCACCAGAGACGACUGAGCCAAGUCCGACUUCGCCAGAGCCACGAUCAACGGCAGCGAAGGAUCGAGAGAGUGGGCGAAGGAUCGAGAGAGUGGGAGAAGGGGGAGAUCUGUGUGUGUGUGGGUCGAAUGGAGAAGGGGGAGAAGAGAGGUCAGGCCUCAGAGAAGAAGACCCCGGAGGCCCGGGAAACAACCGUCAUCGCCAACACGCGCAUCGACUGGAAGGAGACCCCGGAGGCCCACAUCUUCAAGGCGGACCUCCCGGGGAUCAAAAAGGAGGAGGUGAAAGUGGAGGUGGAGGACGGGAGGGUCCUGCAUAUCAGCGGCGAGAGGAGCAGGGAGCAGGAGGAGAAGACGAAGAACUGGAGAAGGGAGAAGCUCAGAAGUUCUAGAGAGAAGGAAGGGAGAGAAGAGAAAGACAGAAGUUCUAGAGAGAGAAGGAUCCAGAGUGAGACUCUGUGGGCGUGCGUGGUUUUGGAUUUUGGGGGGGGGGGGUUUGUCUGUGUGACACACUGACUCACUGACUCUCUCUUCUGCGUGUGAUGUGUGGUGGUGUGAGAAAAAAAAAAGAAUCCAAUGCAAUGAUCCAAUCCAAAUAAUUCAAAAUCAAAUAAAAAAACAUAUAAAUAAUUCAAAAGCAUCUCCAAAUAAUUUUGACAAGACACUCACUCUACACAUAGAGAUGAUGAAGAUAGUGAAAAAAUUGAACCUCAUAGGAACUCUAUGUGGUACUAAAGUGUAAAAUAUUGUACUAAUUCAUUAUAUAAAUGAUUAUGGUGUGUUUAGACUUCUUUCAUUAAUUACUACAUAUUUUCUACACUCACAAUGUUUGUCAGCUCGCUAUAUAAUCAACUUGAUAAUGUUAAAUCCAUCAUGCAAUGCAUUUCCUUCCAAUUUUUUGUGAUAAACUAAUAGAUAAUUGACUAAAUAAACAUCCUGCAAAGUUUCAAUAAAAAUUUCCAAGUUUUUCUUACAAUUUCCGUGGUUUCCAUGUAAUUUUUAUCGAUAUCGAUAUUUUACCGAUAUUUCCAUCGAUAUUUCCGUGUUUUCAGACUACCGAUAUUUCCGAUAUUACCGAUAUUUAAUACCAUGGUUUUUAUAAAAGAACAUGGAUCCCCUCCGGAUCCAUUAUGUGGGGAUCUUAGGAAUCCCCACAUCUCAUCCGUACAUCGUGAAUCGUGCGGUCAGAAAUUAUUUUAUUUUUAUUAUUUUAAGUUAAUCACAAAUAGUACCUUACGAAAACUGGCCGCACGAUAUACGAUGAAUGAUUGGGAUGUAGGGAUCCUUAGAAUCCCCACAUAAUGGAUCCGGAGGGGAAGACAUUUUCUCACUUAAAACAUCGUCGUCAUGGAUAUUUUUCGUUGUAAAAAUUUAGGGCUUCUUUGGUACUCUACUUGAAUCCAAUUUUUUAAACUUAAAAACAAUUUUCAAGUUUUAGACCUUAAAAAAUUGUUUGGUAGGACUAUUUUAAAAAAUUGAACUCAAGACUAACUAAAAAAUAUAGUCUAUUCUCUAAAACCAUAAAAAGUGAGUUUUUAAAGUUUUUAAAUUUAAACUCACUCAUUUCUUUCAUUUCCGCUUGCUCUCUCUCACUCCAAAUCUAUCUCUCUCUUUUCUUCUUUCUCUUUCCUCUUUUAUUUUAUUUAUUUAUUUUUUUUUCCUUUUUGUGUCUCCUCCAAUUUGCUCUCUUCAUUCUCUCGGUUAUUUCUCUCACUCCUCUUCUUCUCUCCUUCAAUCAUCUCUUAUUUUCUUUCCUUCUCUCUUCUCUUUCUCCCUCUCCUAUGACCCCCCUCUUUUUAGAUCUCUUUGUCUAGUUUAAGUUGUAAAAUUUAAAAUUUUUAAAUCGCCAACCAAUUAAGUUUUUGAGUCUUAAAGAAAAUUGUUUUCAAGAAAUGUUCUUAAUAAAUGUUUUGAGAAAUGAUAAAAAAAUUCAAAUAGGAUACCAAACAUGCCCUUAAAUUCCUCACUGUUUCAUGGAUCAAAUUGGUUAUCAAACUCAGUUCACAAUCUUGCGAGAAAAUUGAAAUUUCCUUGAGUAAUUAUCUGCAUAUAUAUGACACGAAUUUAUAGAUUUUUUAAUUUGAGAAGAAAAUCACACCAAAUUGAGGUAUAGUUAGAUCACAUGAAAAAUAACACUCCUACUGAAAGAUAUGAGAAAAUUUGAGCAUCGGUCCCUAAACAGGUCAUAAGGUAUAGUAAUGGUUCUUUUGAGUAAACAUUGUUUUAUAAUACCUUCCAAAAUUAAGGGUUUAAAGAGGAAAAUAUAAAAGGAAUUAUUCUAACGUGAUUACCAAAAAUAAAUAAUGUUACAGAUUGUAACAAGUUAUGGACCACUAUUCAAAUUAACUCAAAACAUAUUAAGUAUGUAAAAUAACACUACUCAAGUCAUACUGCUAGUCAUAUACAGGAUGCGUAAUAACAAAUUAUGUAGAUUCGAGAUUAUUAGGGAGCGCAUGGUAAUUAACAUUUACCCUAUACAAAUGACAAGGUGAAAGAAAAACUGUAAAGAUUAUAGGAUUGUCUCUAAAUGCAGCUCAAGAGCCUUUAACGGAAGAACUUCCAAAAUAUUAACCUUAUUGUCAUCGGUCUCAACGAGGAACAUCGAUAGAAAUGGUCAAACCAUUGCCUGAGCAAUCUUGAGGACGCACUUGAUCAUGGUGGUCAACAUAUCCUCCUGUAAAGAAGGCUGGUUUCUCAGGUCUGGGAAGAAUAAUAGUUUCACUUUUUAACAUAAGAACAACUGAGGACAUGGUCGGCCUGUUGUUUGCAUCUUCUUGAACACACAAUAGUCCAAUGUGGAUGUACCUCAAAAAUUCAUUUGGACUGCAGGAAUCUUUUAACAAGGGAUCCAUCAACUCCAACCCUUUCGUUUCAUUCCAUAAUUGCCAAGCCUGCAAUCAAUAUCUCUCAGGGAUGUAUGUACUACUCCAGUUUUAAUAGCUACAUUAAUUAGCUCACGAAUAUUUUGAAUAAGUAUUUCAAGUAAAAAACUUACAUAACCUAUAAGAGUAGGUUUACAAUUUGUGCGAUGAAAGCCUAAAAAGUUCCUUCUCCCCGUUAUGAUCUCAAGCAGAAGUACUCCGAAGCUGAAGACAUCCGAUUUUACUGAAUACAACCCUUCCAUAGCAUAUUCUGGAACCAUGUAACCACUUUACAGGACAGAAAUGGUUGACAUAUAUUAGAGUUUAAAUAACAAAUAUAUACUUUUCCGUUGUCUAUUUAAAGAUAGAGUUAAGUACAUAAGUUGAAACAAAUAAUUGGAACUUAAGAUUACUAAUAUUAGAUAGAGGUAUUUGUAUAAGUUGAAACUUACUAAGUACCAACAAUUCUUUUGGUAUUUCCUUCAGUUUGAUCAUCAAUUCCAAACAUUCUAGCCAUCCCAAAAUCUGAUAUUUUCGGAUUCAUGUUGCUAUCUAAUAAAAUGUUGCUAGCUUUCAAAUCACGAUGUAUAACUCUAAGCCUCGAAUCUUCAUGAAGAUACAAAAUUCCUCGAGCAAUUCCUCCAAUUAUCAUGGUGCGGCUCAACCAAUCUAGUUGUUCUCGUUUUUUAUGUUCUGCAAAUUUAUCAAGUUCAAGUAGUACUUUUUGAAGUUAGGAACGACAAAGAAUUAUAUUUACUGACACAAACAUAUAUGUAUAUUCAUCAAAUGAUGUUCACAUACCAAAUAAAAAAUAAUCAAGGCUUUUGUUGGGCACAUAUUCAUAAACAAGUAUGGUUUCUUCUCCUUCCAAGCAAAAUCCUAAUAGCCUGACAAGAUUUCUGUGUUGAAGCUUGGCUACCAAUACAACCUCGUUCUUAAAUUCUUGUACACCUUGUCCGGAGCUUUUUGACAACCUCUUUACUGCUAUUUCUUGUCCACUAAUAAGCAUUCCCUGUGAUAAGGUAUAUAGGUACUUUAGUUUAUCCAACAAUUUUGUUGUGAUCUAAGCAAUUUAUAUAUACAAUACAAUGUUGGAUUAAUAGAAUGACUCAUGAACUAAUGCAUUAUAUAUUUGUUGGGUUAUUACCUUGAAAACUGCACCGAAUCCACCUUCGCCUAACUUGUUAUAUUCGGAGAACUUAUUUGGCAGGUCAGGUUUUUUCACAAGAGUAAAUUGUAGUUAUGGUCCCUGAACUUUACUCAAAUUGGAGCAAUGGUCAUUCAACUAAAAAUCCAUUAUCAUUGGUCCUUCAACUCAUUAAAACGUGCAGCUAUGGUCCCUCAACUAAAAAUCUAUUACCUUUGGUCCCUUAAUUUUAAUUCAACUGGAGAAAUGGUCCCUUAAUUUUAUCCCAAUUGUAACUAUGGUCCUUCAAACAUAACUCGUUUUGACAAAAUUUUUUACGUAGUUGACGAAAAUGACCAUAAUUACACACUUUGAUGAGUUGAUGGACCCUAAUUAAAUAAAUGGUUAUUCCAACAUAACAUAUUUUGACAAAAUUUUGAGAAAUUAAUGAAAAUGACUAUAGCUACACAUUUUAAUAAGUUGAGGGACCAAUGGUAAUGAAUUUUUAGUUGAGGGACUAUUGCUCCAAUUUGAGUAAAGUUCAUGGACCAUUGCUACAAUUUACUCUUUUCACAAUAAAGCCGGCCUCGGUGAUCAAUAGUGGAACAAUCACUAUAUAUAUUGUAUUUUAUUUCGUAAGGUAUGAUGUGAGAAUCUUACCUUCAAUGGAUGUUUUAUAUAUUACCUUGUAAACAGAACCAAAUCCUCCUUGUCCUAGUUUAUUGGCUUCAGAAAAGUCAUCUGCGGCAAUUCUAAUGGUGUCAAAAUUGAAUUGCAAGGAUUCUGCACUUCCAAUUUCGUCCAUGUCUUCGCCUGCGGUACAAUUUUAACAAAAUAUUGAUAUGUAACAUAAUUACAUCUAGAUGACGUAACAGUACUAGGCUUCCCACUUGAAGAAAAUUGAGUUAAAUUAAUGUUACUGUGUCUAUUUUGUUACAAUACGUACCUGGAAUUAAAUUACUUUGAAACAUUUUCUUUGCAUUCCGUACUCUUAGACAAAUGCCCAUGAACAUUGCUAGUACCAAAGAAGCAAUAAUUGGCACAACAAUAAUGAUGACAGUCCGAGAUUUGCCGUUCUUCAAUCCUGCAAAGUAAAAUCAUAAAUAUAUCUUCUCUAAUCACAUGAGAUUCUGAAUAACAUGUUUAAGUGAUUGAUCUAUCAGAGAGAGGAGUUACCAUUGAUCAAUUAAAUUUUGAGAUCAGUGUCAAGCAAAUAUAGUCAUCAACGUAUGUAAUGGAGUGUACAUACAUAUACGUUAUGCGUGCGUACCUUGUGAAGUGUUUGUGGUAUUGGUUGAUGGUGGUGGAGAAUGUAUUGGUGGCGGAGAUGGCAGUUGUUUGACAGUUGUAGGGUCAUAGAAGGGGUAAAGAUCGAAUCUAAAGUAACAGCUAGGUUUAUUAACUCCCCCACCUACUUUCCCGUAAAAAUUGGAGCUAUAUGCAAAAGCCCCAACUAAGCAAUCACUGCAAUUUUGCUCUGAUAUGUCUGGCGUGCAUUGCGCUAGUGCAAAUAUUGUUUGGAAAGUUGGGGCACUUGUGUUUCCGAAUGCAAAUUUCCGAAGAGAACCGCCAGCUGCAGCUUCCCUUCUUAUGCUGUCCAGUAGCUUCUCCAGCUCUUGGUUGAAUCCAUCCAGCUCGGACGACGAUAUGUUAUUUAUGUUCCAGUAAUACGGCGAAGGCCGCGAAGGCUCAGUUUCCAUGACGCCAUAGAUGGAGCGGUUUGAGUAGCGUAAAUUGCAUUUCUCAUACGAUCCAAAUGCUUCCUUCUGAUUAGGACAACGCUGAAGGAGAUCAUAUCGGGAAUUAUUUAGGCAGCUACGACAAUCUCCCACCGUGACAUCUCCUCUACAAAGCCCGAUUGCAUAAAUGUGCUCGUUCGACGAGUUUAGGCGAUAGGAUGCAUUAUAAAAGCCAUACCCGUUGCCGUUUUCGUCGGAGGGCAGGGAGGAGAGGAGGCGGUUGAGGUUUGUCUGAUAGGUACUAUUGGUGGUAUAGUUUCCUUUUCCGUCUAUGCAAUUUUGACCAAGGGCUUGAUUAAUCAUGAGAAACAGAAUGGGAAAGAGGCAGAAUAGAAAUCUUGAGGAAUCCAUUGCUGGCAUUAUUUGAUAUUUUUGCUAAAAUUGGUUUGUAAAAGAGGAUUAUAGUUCUGAUGGAAAACUUGCUACACGUCUAUAUAUGAAGAACGAAGUCAAUGAAUACCUCACUUUACACAAGACGCGGUGGUGGGAAGACCAGACUUUUUUUUCUUUUUUUUUUAACACAGACCAGACUUUUAAUAGUAGCUCUAGCUACGAUACAGUAUUGGUACUUGCUACCAUUCCUCUACACGUGCAUGUUUAAGCGCAACUUUUUCACGCAUCAAGCCUAUGCAACUAUUAUGAAGAAAGGAUGUCGUUGUGGGGGUCUCAAGCCAAUAACACUCUUAUAUUGAUAAGUUGAAAUUUAAAAUGCAUAAUAACUUUAAAUCAAAUAAUACGUGAUUAAUUUAAAAUACCGCUAUAAUGAUAUCAUUGUAUAAGCAAGUGUCUAUUUUAUAUUACAUCUUUGUAGGUAUUCUUUCAUCAGCGAGGUUUCACUCUAUUAUAAUUGAAGAUGCUGACAUAGACGGGAGUGCUAAAUUAAAUAUUUAAGGAAGCUUCUUCCGAGACUUACACUAUUCAACCAUUGAAAUAAAGUAAACCACAGAUUGCAGGAGUGGUUGGCUCUGGCUGGGCCAACUUCUCUUUGCUUCUCGGUGCACGCAAUCUCUCGGUCAACAAGGUAAAUCAAUUAUAAUACGCAAUUCUGACAAUCAUUUACUCGUUUCGGUGGUUAUACCUUUCUACUUUAUGGUCAGAAUUAAAU